UACGAAGGGGGCUAGCGUUGCUCGGAAUCACUGGGCGUAAAGGGUGCGUAGGCGGGUCUUUUAAGUCAGGGGUGAAAUCCUGGAGCUCAACUCCAGAACUGCCUUUGAUACUGAGGAUCUUGAGUUCGGGGAGAGGUGAGUGGAACUGCGAGUGUAGAGGUGAAAUUCGUAGAUAUUCGCAAGAACACCAGUGGCGAAGGCGGCUCACUGGCCCGAUACUGACGCUGAGGUGCGAAAGCGUGGGGAGCAAACAGG
rnacentral:rRNA from 1 species